CUCCUGAAGCCUGGUGCUAGGCACGGGGGCAGGGGAACCUCCGGCAGACGGGGCAGGCACAGCCCCCUCCCUGCCCAGGCGCACGCAGGCUGGGCAGUCGCUCCGUGCCCCGGCUCAGAGGGGUGACCCCGGUGCCAGGUUCCCCUCAGCCCCCUUCCGUAUCCCGAGGGCGGUAAUGCGGCUCCUGCACCCCAGCAGCCAGCGGGCCCGGGAGCCUCAGCUGCGGGCAGGAUCGAAGUGAUGUGGAGAGCCCUGCCUGCCCCGGUGGUACGGGGGCUGUAGUCAGGAGGCAAGGAGGAGCAAAGGAGGAGAAUAUUGCCUCAUCUUCUGCUCACAACAAGCCCAGGCCACCUGGCAUGGGAGCGGGAUGGGCAUAGCAGGGAGCAUGUGAAUCACCUCGGACGUGCAGUUCUGUGAAGAAGAGCUGUGUGUUUGUGUUGGAAGUGCUGUAAUGUUUGGCACACUGAGACUUCUACCUGCUCACCACGACUGGUAUUCCCUGUUCUGCAAGACGGGGAGAAAAGGAGCAUAUACAAUGAAACGGAUCCUUGGAUUUUGGAUCUUGAGGUGACCUUGACUCCACAAAUCUCCUGAACAAUUAAACUACAGAACAGUUGAUUGCUUCUUUGUUUGUGUGGCAAUAGAUUAUGGAAUAAGA